rnacentral:lncRNA from 10 species
GCCAGUGCACCCAGAAAGGUGAGGUGGGAGAAGGCGGGGGCAGAAGAACAGCCAUAGGCCGCAAGGGGAUGAGAGGGCCGGGAAAGUCCAGAUGGUCCCUCUAAGCCAAGCGGAGGAGUUCGAGCUUGAUCCUGAGGGUGACAGAAGCCACACGAGUAUUUCUACCUGCAGAGCGAGGUCCUCUCCUGUGCCCACCCCUCCUGGGGAAGACAGUCUACUUGACAUUACUGCUUGGAUCAGCUAUCACUGGAUUUAAAGCUCCAGAACCUGCCUCCUCAAUUCUGGUGGACAGAUGGAAACAAACUCUCCACUGAGCCGGGAUGUAUUUGGCUGGCUCCAAACCCAAAGCCCUUCUAGUUUCCCUGUGAUCUUCAGGGGCCUUGAAUUGCCUCCCCUCUUUUCCAACCCAGACCUCUUCAUGAAUCCUACCCUACGUAUGGCCCCACAUUACCUGAGGAUAUAGAAUAAAUAAAUAAAAU